rnacentral:rRNA from 1 species
GACAGAGGGUGCAAACGUUGUUCGGAAUUACUGGGCGUAAAGGGCUCGUAGGCGGCCAACUAAGUCAAACGUGAAAUCCCCAGGCUCAACCUGGGAACUGCGUCUGGUACUGGAUGGCUUGAAUCCGGGAGAGGGAUGCAGAAUUCCAGGUGUAGCGGUGAAAUGCGUAGAUAUCUGGAGGAAUACCGGUGGCGAAGGCGGCAUCCUGGACCGGCAUUGACGCUGAGGAGCGAAAGCCAGGGGAGCAAACGGG